rnacentral:rRNA from 1 species
CCUACGGGAGGCAGCAGUGAGGAAUAUUGGUCAAUGGACGAGAGUCUGAACCAGCCAAGUAGCGUGAAGGAUGACUGCCCUCUGGGUUGUAAACUUCUUUUAUAUGGGCGUAAAAUGUUCCACGUGUGGGAUUUUGUAUGUACCAUAUGAAUAAGGAUCGGCUAACUCCGUGCCAGCAGCCGCGGUAAUACGGAGGAUCCGAGCGUUAUCCGGAUUUAUUGGGUUUAAAGGGAGCGUAGGUGGAUUGUUAAGUCAGUUGUGAAAGUUUGCGGCUUAACCGGAAAAUUGCAGUUGAAACUGGCAGGCUGGAGUACAGUAGAGGUGAGCGGAAUUCGUGGUGUAGCGGUGAAAUGCUUAGAUAUCACGAAGAACUCCGAUUGCGAAGGCAGCUCACUGGACUGCAACUGACACUGAGGCUCGAAAGUGUGGGUAUCAAACAGGAUUAGAUACCCGGGUAGUC